GACGAACGCUGGCGGCGUGCUUAACACAUGCAAGUCGAACGGAAAGGCCCUGCUUUUGUGGGGUGCUCGAGUGGCGAACGGGUGAGUAACACGUGAGUAACCUGCCCUUGACUUUGGGAUAACUUCAGGAAACUGGGGCUAAUACCGGAUAGGAGCUCCUGCUGCAUGGUGGGGGUUGGAAAGUUUCGGCGGUUGGGGAUGGACUCGCGGCUUAUCAGCUUGUUGGUGGGGUAGUGGCUUACCAAGGCUUUGACGGGUAGCCGGCCUGAGAGGGUGACCGGCCACAUUGGGACUGAGAUACGGCCCAGACUCCUACGGGAGGCAGCAGUGGGGAAUAUUGCACAAUGGGCGGUAGCCUGAUGCAGCAACGCCGCGUGCGGGAUGACGGCCUUCGGGUUGUAAACCGCUUUCGCCUGUGACGAAGCGUGAGUGACGGUAAUGGGUAAAGAAGCACCGGCUAACUACGUGCCAGCAGCCGCGGUGAUACGUAGGGUGCGAGCGUUGUCCGGAUUUAUUGGGCGUAAAGGGCUCGUAGGUGGUUGAUCGCGUCGGAAGUGUAAUCUUGGGGCUUAACCCUGAGCGUGCUUUCGAUACGGGUUGACUUGAGGAAGGUAGGGGAGAAUGGAAUUCCUGGUGGAGCGGUGGAAUGCGCAGAUAUCAGGAGGAACACCAGUGGCGAAGGCGGUUCUCUGGGCCUUUCCUGACGCUGAGGAGCGAAAGCGUGGGGAGCGAACAGGCUUAGAUACCCUGGUAGUCCACGCUGUAAACGGUGGGUACUAGGUGUGGGGUCCAUUCCACGGGUUCCGUGCCGUAGCUAACGCUUUAAGUACCCCGCCUGGGGAGUACGGCCGCAAGGCUAAAACUCAAAGGAAUUGACGGGGCCCCGCACAAGCGGCGGAGCAUGCGGAUUAAUUCGAUGCAACGCGUAGAACCUUACCUGGGUUUGACAUGGAUCGGGAGUGCUCAGAGAUGGGUGUGCCUCUUUUGGGGUCGGUUCACAGGUGGUGCAUGCCUGUCGUCAGCUCGUGUCGUGAGAUGUUGGGUUAAGUCCCGCAACGAGCGCAACCCUUGUUCACUGUUGCCAGCACGUUAUGGUGGGGACUCAGUGGAGACCGCCGGGGUCAACUCGGAGGAAGGUGGGGAUGACGUCAAGUCAUCAUGCCCCUUAUGUCCAGGGCCUCACGCAUGCUACAAUGGCUGGUACAGAGAGUGGCGAGCCUGUGAGGGUGAGCGAAUCUCGGAAAGCCGGUCUCAGUUCGGAUUGGGGUCUGCAACUCGACCUCAUGAAGUCGGAGUCGCUAGUAAUCGCAGAUCAGCAACGCUGCGGUGAAUACGUUCCCGGG
rnacentral:rRNA from 1 species